CGUACGCCGUGCUGUCCAGUGAUAAAAGCUGUUGAGCGCAGCAGAGCUCGCAGAGUACUGUGGUGGACAACGUUUCUUUGUUCUCUGGCUUUCAAGUUUAAGGGGUGCUUGGACUAUCUUGCAUCGGUGGAUAUGAAAAUAGUGGUAACCUACCCUACGAAACAGCUAUUUGCACAUAAGCUUAACAGUUCCCUGUGAGAUGCUGUGAAAGUCAGCAGGGAAGUGCGAUGUAGAAGAAACGACUGCCAGAAGCUUGCUAAAGAACCGCACAACAUGUGUGAGCAGCAGACAAAAUAUUCAUCAAACGAAUUUUUGCACCAAAGUUAUGAGAGCAGCACAGAUGUUGUUUUAGCGUAAUGCAGUGAUGGAAGUGCUGCGCCAAUCAUGGAGUGCUUAGCAGUCGCCUGCUCGACCAGCCACAGUGAGUCAUUGGAGGCAGUGCUGCAGCGCCAACAAUCACUCAUUGGAAGAAAGGAAUGAGGUGGCCAUCAACACCCUGCUGCCAGUACAACACUCCUCAG